rnacentral:rRNA from 1 species
UACAGAAGGUGCGAGCGUUACUCGGAAUUACUGGGCGUAAAGCGCGCGUAGGCGGCUUUGCAAGUCGGGUGUGCAAUCCCCAGGCUUAACCUGGGAACUGCAUUCGAGACUGCAUUGCUAGAGUAUGGGAGAGGGAAGUGGAAUUUCCGGUGUAGCGGUGAAAUGCGUAGAUAUCGGAAGGAACAUCAGUGGCGAAAGCGGCUCACUGGACCGGUACUGACGCUGAGGCGCGAAAGCGUGGGGAGCAAACAGG